AUGUCUCCACAGGACGCAGUUACCUCAUACAACUACCACCAGAAGAUGAUGGGAAAUUCUGCAGUAAUUGCAGUUUCCUGUGCCAGUACUGUUCCUGCUCCAGUCCUACCUAACUGUGUAACAGCUAAUCAAACUACUAGUGCUUCGUCAGUUUCCUCACAGAAUGCUAUACAGCCUCUAUUUGUACCUCCACCUGCACAAGGCAGGCCAGUGAUUGCUUCACCAUCUUAUCAAUACCAUUCUGCUGCUAUUCCUGCUGCUGCCUCUUUCCCACCACCACCACCGCCACCUCCACCACCACCACCACCACCUCCACCUCCUUUUGAGGUGGAAGAGGCUUCAAACUUAGCAUCACAGCUUCCACCUUAUUCCUGUGAUCCAAAUGGCAGUGAUCUGCCUCAAGAUACAAAAGUUUUACAGUACUAUUUCAAUCUGGGAUUGCAGUGUUGUCACCACAACUAUUGGCACUCUAUGGUCUAUGUGCCACACAUGCAGCAGCCUCAUGUAGAGAAUUACCCAAUCUAUACUGAGCCACCUCCUCUGAUGGACCAAACUGUUCCUAACUUGUACAGUGAGGUAGCGAGAGCAGAUGGUGCACAGACAGAAGCAUCAGCGAAUGGUACUUUUGCGAAUGCUGACUCUGCCUCUAUCCCUCAUGGAGCAGUCUAUUACCCAGUAAUGUCAGAUCCCUAUGCGCAGCCACCAUUGCCAGGUUUUGAUUCCUGCCUUCCUGUUGUGCCAGAUUAUUCCUGUGUUGCGCCCUGUCAUCCAGUUGCUGCAGCAUAUGGUGGUUCUUCUCAAAUUCAUGGUGCUGUAAAUCCUGGGGCAGUUGGCUAUAUUGCUUCACCUCCUUCAUCUUCUCAUUAUGUACCUCAGAAUAUGUAAGAUUCAGCAAUAUGAAGUAUUCUUAUACUACCAUUUUCUUGGUGUUUUGGUUUUUAAAGUUUUUUAUGUUGGUGUUUGAGUGAUUUAGGUGGCAAGAGUCAUUACUAUUGUAUCUGUCUUUAAGAUUGUUUUAUCUUUUGAUUUAAUAUUUUCCUUUAAAGGAAUACUGCUUUGGGCUGUGAAUAAGGAAAUUAAGAUGGAUGUACAACUAGCCCCAUACUGAGCAUAUUUGAUUGUAUUCAGUUGUUUCCCUGUCAACUGGCUUGUCAACUUUGUAUUAGCUAAUGGUGCCAACUGAAAUAAAUCUUACAAACUAUUUCCCUGGCUGAGAAAUCAUACAACAUACUAAACUGUUAAAAAUUAUUAUUUCCAUUUUUCUAGAAAGUAAAAUCAAGAGCCUUUGCUUCUGGGUAAUUUACUAUUAAAUAAGAGAGCUCUUCAGGUUUCUUAAGAAUUGUAUGACCUGAGUUGUGUUCUGUGAUAUUAAUCAGUUUUGAAGUCAUAUGAUGCUCUGCUUUAGAUUUAUUCCAUAUACUAUUGUUUAAUACUGGAUUUAUGUAACUGCACAGUAUUGAAUUGGUGUCCUUUGCACAGUUAGCAGUAAAUAAAAACUAGCAUUUAAAAUUGCCAAAAUAAGUGUGAUUUUCUUUUUUUUUUUUUUUUUAAUUCUUUUAUUGGUACAUUGUAGGUAUACAACACAAUUACAUUUCUCAUUGGGAAUUUUGCUUUUUCAUGGCAGCAGAGAGUGUACCAGACAUUUG
rnacentral:lncRNA from 1 species